UACAGAGGCCCCAAGCAUUAUCCGGAAUCACUGGGCGUAAAGGGUGUGUAGGCGGUCGUGUUAGUCUUUCGUGAAAGAUCUCGGGCUUAACCCGGGAGACGCGGAGGAAACGGCACGACUUAGAGGAUGUGAGAGGUAAAGGGAACUCAUGGUGUAGGGGUGAAAUCCGUUGAUAUCAUGGGGAACACCAAAUGCGAAGGCACUUUACUGGCACACUCCUGACGCUGAAACACGAAAGCGUGGGAAUCGAACGGG
rnacentral:rRNA from 1 species